rnacentral:rRNA from 1 species
UACGUAGGGUGCGAGCGUUGUCCGGAAUCACUGGGCGUAAAGCGCACGUAGGCGGAUCUUUAAGUCAGGGGUGAAAUCCUGGAGCUCAACUCCAGAACUGCCUUUGAUACUGGGGAUCUCGAGUCCGGAAGAGGUGAGUGGAACUCCGAGUGUAGAGGUGAAAUUCGUAGAUAUUCGGAAGAACACCAGUGGCGAAGGCGGCUCACUGGUCCGGUACUGACGCUGAGGUGCGAAAGCGUGGGGAGCAAACAGGG